GGGCGCUUAGCUCAGCGGUAGAGCACUGCCUUCACACGGCAGGGGUCGCAGG
rnacentral:tRNA from 1 species